CUCUUGUUCAAGGUUGAGCUUUAGGAGCAGUAAUGUUGUAAUACUUUAGCCUACACAAAUUACAAGCCUUUAUGAACUUUACUUUUCAACCCAACCAAAUUUCACCACAUGUCAAAAUAUAUAUCUACAAUAUGAUCAAUUAUUUUUUUUUU